rnacentral:rRNA from 1 species
AACGAACGCUGGCGGCAGGCCUAACACAUGCAAGUCGAGCGCCCAGCAAUGGGAGCGGCGCACGGGUGAGUAACACGUGGGAAUAUGCCCUUUGGUUCGGAAUAACGUAGGGAAACUUGCGCUAAUACCGGAUAAGCCCUUACGGGGAAAGGAUUUAUCGCCAUUGGAGUAGCCCGCGUCUGAUUAGCUAGUUGGUGAGGUAAAAGACCCACCAAGGCAACGAUCAGUAGCUGGUUUGAGAGAACGACCAGCCACACUGGGACUGAGACACGGCCCAGACUCCUACGGGAGGCAGCAGUGGGGAAUAUUGGACAAUGGGCGCAAGCCUGAUCCAGCAAUGCCGCGUGGAUGAAGAAGGUCUUCGGAUUGUAAAGUCCUUUUCGGCGGGGACGAUGAUGACGGUACCCGCAGAAAGAAGCCCCGGCUAACUUCGUGCCAGCAGCCGCAGUAAU